CGCAACUUGCGCCCUCUGGUAUUCCGGAGGGCAUGCCUGUUUGAGUGUCAUGUAGCCUCAAUCUCCCGGGUUUCCGGGAAGAUUGGACUUGGGUGUCUGCCAUGCCACAUGGCUCGCCUUAAAUGACUUAGUGGGACAACUGACUGAUGUCGGGAGUAAUAAGUUUCUCUUGACCAAGUCUAUUUGACCGCUCAUAACCUUUGUUCUCUAGAACAUAUUUAUGACUCUGACCUCAAAUCAGGUAGGACUACCCGCUGAACUUAA
rnacentral:misc_RNA from 1 species